rnacentral:ncRNA from 2 species
CGGCACACGCAGGGGUCCUGCGGCCGGAGCUCCGGCAGCGGGUGAGAAAUACCCUCGGAACCUGAUGCGGGUAAUACCGCCGUAGGGAAGCGUGGCCACCGCCCCG